UACGUAGGGGGCAAGCGUUGUCCGGAUUCAUUGGGCGUAAAGAGCGUGUAGGCGGCCAGGUAGGUCGGUUGUGAAAACUGGAGGCUCAACCUUCAGAGGUCGACCGAAACCAUCUGGCUAGAGUCCGGGAGAGGAGAGUGGAAUUCCCAGUGUAGAGGUGAAAUUCGUAGAUAUUGGGAAGAACACCGGUGGCGAAGGCGGCUCUCUGGACCGAGACUGACGCUGAGGCGCGAAAGCGUGGGGAGCAAACAGG
rnacentral:rRNA from 1 species